GCAUUGACAUGUCUCUAGGGUGUUAAAAAUGUAAAAUGAAAAGAUAGUUAAGCAAAAAAAAAAAAAAACAAUCCAAUUUUGGACACCUGUAAAUUAGAAAAACCCUAGAAUUAUAGUUCACACAGGCUGGUUAAUAAAUGUUGAAAUACAAGCAAGAAAGACUCAUUAUACAACCAAACUUUCCCCCUAAAAGUGAUAUAUACAAACAAUACAAGAGGACAAAUUUUCAUUUAACUUUUUCUGUUCUUUUUUUGUCUGGCAUGCUUGACUAGAUACCUAUCGCAUGAAAGUGUUAAUUUUUAUUCGGUUUUCCUUCUGCGCCUACAAUUCCCUAUUGAUGUAAAUUUAGUCCAUACGACGCGGGUACUUUGUGCAUAUCGCUGUGAAAUACAAUAGGUUAUCCCUCUAAUUUACUUAAAUGCUACUGAGAAAUUGUUUUGUGAUGGGAACUAGUAUUUUGAGUUUUCCCAGUCCAACUUUCUUCUCCCAGUCAAGUCAGUAAUUCACUUAGUGAUCUUGAACAAAUCAUUUGAUUUAAUUGUACCCAUAUCAAGCCAGCUGGAAAACUGAGCAAAAAGCAUCUCUUCAUUGAAAACCAAAUGCUAUGCCUAAACUGUGCCUUCCUGAGUAAGCAAACAUGGGCAAGACUAUCCCAUUUUUCCCUUGGGACUAUCCUGAGGGAGUCAAGCAUUCCAAAUGCAUUUCAAAACCCAGAAGAUAGAUUCAAGUUUGAUCUUGACAGAUGUUUUCUCUAAUACAGCAAUUGACGUGCUGUAUUUGCAAGAAUAAAAGAUCUUAAAUAUUUAGCAGCGUAUUAUCAUAACAUUUUUUAAAGACUCACUAUUUAUAUUUCAAACGUGCUAAUUUACAUGUUCACUUCAAACAAUGUAGAUCUCAACUGUUAUGUUUUUAAAGCAUCUGGUGGCUUACUUGGUGAAUGCUUGUGAUUCAUAAAGCCUAUUAUUAGUCCUCCUGAACAAACAUCAGCUAAAAAAAUAGAGUAAGCUAGCUUUUAUGUACUGUUUAGCAGAAAGUUCACUGUAUUACAUAAAGCAUUGCCAUAUAUUAUUCCUUUAACUGUUACAAAUUAUAUUAUAACCUGCUUGUUUGAGGCAUGUUUUGUUUUGCUUCCUAAACUAGUGUACAUUACAUACACACAUCUUGCUAAAGGCUGCCUCAAACUAAAAUCAUUAAAAUAUUAACCAACUGGUAUAGAGGAACAGCACUUGACUAAUGUAGCCGUCUGAGUUAUUUACUAACUCUUGGGAAUGUUUCUGCUGCUCCAUGAACGUUAGAUUUGUUUAAGGCUAAGCACCUUCACCUCUGAUUAACCACAAAUGAAGACGUUCAGCUCCUUUCAGCGGUGUGUCCUACAUGCAUCUGUUCUUGACCGACUCAUUCAAAGGAGCACCCCUGUGACUUCUUACCCUGCAGUUAAAACAUACAUGGAAAAAUACCACUGAAGAGUUAACGAUGACUACAAUGGGACAAAGCCACUUCUGACUCGCACCCUGAGGACAUCAGAAGCAGGCUCAAGCCCCCAGAAGCAACCACUACAGUGAUACGCUCUACUCCACCUCCUCCUUAGAAGCGCGCGAUGUUGGAACAACUUAUCUCCGUAGUUAUAUCAGCGCAUCUCCACAGACUGACGUGUAACUAAGCACUGCAGGCUGCCAAUGUAGUUCAAAGCAAGCUUUCAUUAUUGCUCAAAAGGUGUUUUGGUCAGAUUAUUACAUACUUCUGUAGGAGUACUUGCUGACAGGAUUGUUUAACAACGAAUCUGUCGUUACUUGCGGUAGACCUUUUACCCCAGUGAUUCAAGAGUCACGAGACGUGUCUAGCACAUCCUAUGUCACGUUUGCAUGCAGUCUUGCAAAGCAAACAUAACUGAACAUUCCUUUUCAAUAGCUGUUUUUCUAAACUGUUACUCCACUAUUGUAAAAUGAGCUACAAGUUAUGACAUCUGAUAUACCCAUGGUCAUCCCUUUGGCAUUCUUUAUAAAAACAUGAGUCACAGAAAUAUUCAUCAUGAGGAACUCCCAUCGUAAGGAUGUGCAUUCAGUGUGUGAUUCAGCCUUGCUGUAUCUUUCCACUCUGUAAAAUAAAACUGUCAGAACAACUUGAAUGAAUCAUAUAUAGGCCAACAUGUAGGUUUAGUAAAGAAGAAAUCUGGUAAAAUACACGUUAAAAUUAAUUAGUUUUGUUUAGCUUAAAGUAACGCUUGUGUAUUGAAGAAAAAUGAACACCUUCAUUCUCCAUAAGCCCUUCUACCAAACGCUGUAAUAGCACUAUGUUGGUGUAAUCAGAAGACAAAACACCUACAAAAAAUUUGGCCUACUAACAAUGCUCAGAUCAUCAUAUCCAUAUCAGCAUGGAUAAAAAGCCUAAACAGGACAAAAUAACUAAUUGUGUUAAAUUGAUUGUGCUCGCACUCGGUCAAGGGGAAGGGAGGAAUUAACGACCGCAGUUGCCUCAAAGUUGUCAGAAGAAAAGGAACAGAACUAAUAUACCCAGAAGCCCUUUCAAAGAGAUUCAUGUUUCUUCCCAUGCUUUUUUUUUCCCCAAAGCCUUUCACCAUUUGGAGUAAGGUAAUUGGUGCUGACAGCUAUUCUUUUUGGCACCUUUUGUCUGCCCAAGCUAUAGAAUUAACAUUAAGUUUCCCUGAAUGGUAAAGUGGCUUCAUUCAGGAUUUUGUCAGCCUUCUGACAGUGUGAGGAGAGGAUACAGAUAUGGAGAUAAAUGCAAGAACAAUAUACCAUUUCACAUAAAGGAAAUGAACUCAAGAGAAUGGUU